UUCCAGAUGUAUUUUCUUUCUUUUUGUUUUUUAUAAAACUUAGCUUUUUCAAGAACAGAACAGAAUUGUUUUUUCUGUGUCCUAAGAGGUUUGUGCAUGUUGUUUAAUUAGCUGGGGGCAACAGCUGAUUUCCUUUGUUUUUCUUUCUCAGCUCUUCCCCCCGGGGAGGGGGUGGGGGGGCGGUGAAAGUGCUUGGGGGUACCCCACAGGAAAGAAUUCCCAAGUGUGCCUUUCUGGUUUCUCAAAAAAGGGGUUGCACUUGGGUGGUGGCAGCAUCUACCCAGCCAAGAUCAGAGAAAAACUGUAACCUUGGAAGUUUAAUACCAGCCUGGAGUGGCCAGUAUUAAUUUUUAGAGUAUUUGUGGGCCCCCACCUUCUGCACUUGAAGUGCCAGAGUGGAGAAUCAGCUUUGACAGGGGGAGAGGGCACCUAUACUGACUCUGGCCACUAGGCCAGGGUGCCCUGAGGUUAAGGGCAGUCAGUUGGACUUCGCCAUGGGGCUGCAAUGCCCUUGCCCCACUCAAAAGGGAGAUGGGGUGUACUCACCCCGCAACAUCUUGCUCUGUGUCCAUUCAGCUCCCUGAUGCUGUUCUUCUCAUACUCUGAAUUCAGCUUCCUAAUAACUCCCUCUUCUCACAGGGAUCCUGCUGCUGCCACUCCUCUCUGCUCACCUCUCCUCUAACUGCUCAAAUCUAAUUGUCAUGAAACCUUGUGAUAUUCCACCCAGAACUAUUAAAAAAAAGUUCACUGCCCAGAAGAGUCAGCUUGCUGUUCAGAUACCCAUCCAUGUGUAUCCUGUUGCUUAUUGACUGACCUGGCCAAAGCAUUCGAGAAGAGGAUGUAAAGGAAAUUGGCCUUCCACUUUCAUUUCUUUGUAGAUGCUUUGUCUGCCUCGCCUGCUAUGUUCCUGAAUUCCUGCCAUGGCUUGGCUCAUGCAGUUGUAUACUGAGCUACAUUUUAAGGAAAUUGCUAAUGAAACACGUCCUUUUCGUGAAGUAAAAUAUGGGUUAAAAACGCCAUUCUGUGGUCAGGAAACUGAACUGGGAUUUCUUUUCAACCACACCAAUAUUGGACACACCAAUAAGUACACACCCAGAAUUUUAAUGCAGAUCAGAUUGGUAGCUUGUCUUUGAAAAAGAAAUUAAAACAUACCAACUUACUGUACAAUGCAAUUAAUUUAUUAAAAGUGACAACCAUAUUUUAUUGUCUUGAUAACUAAAUGUAAGAUUCAAGUUAUCCUUGGAAAAGUCAUUUAAAAAAAUUUCUAGUGUGGAAAGUUGUUGGCUUGGUUAAGUCUAACUUGCCACUUAUAUGCAUACAAUAACAUUUAAAGUCUUUGGCUCCCAAAAGCAGCCUUACCAUGAAGGAGCCGACUUAAAUACCUUCUCUAUUAAUAGAUGCAACUUCCAUGAGGCAAACCUGCAUGCUCGCGCUCUCUCUCACUCUCUCUCUGAAGCAUCCUGUUAUAAAGAAAGAAACUUUAUUUAAAGAAUAAACUUCCAGUUAGGUUAAAAAAAAGUUUUUUGAUAAUCUUAAUGAAAAAAUAGGUGUUUAAUACAUCAGACUAAAAUAGCAGACUAAAUCAGACUAAAAUAGCAGAACCAUAUUAUAUAACCUUGUUGCACUGACAUUCUAAUAAUUAAUUAUUUCAGGGUCCAAUUGAAGUCAUUAGGGUUGCUUGAGGAAUAAGGUAUUACUUGGCAUAUGAUUAAUCUGCUGAACAGUAAUAGGUCAGUGUGGCAACUGUGCUUUUGAUGGGAUAUACAAACCCCACACAGGCAACAAGAGGUUAAGGAGCUGCUCUGGGCUCAGCCUUCCCCACCCUGCCACACCUGCAAGAGAUGCACAGACUGGGGGAGGAGUUAAAAGAGAAGCAGAACAGCUCACUGGUGAGCAGACCAGGGAAGAGAGUAGACUAUUAACUUGCAAGUCCUGAGGAAACAGCUGAGGAAAAGUAGGGACCUUCCCAACAGCAACUGCCUGAAGGUCUUUCUCUGAUAGAACAGAGGACCUGAUUCUGAUAGCCUCUGAGACAGAAGCAUUUCCACCUCUCUCAUACUAACUCAGUUUGUUUGUGUUAAAUCCCCUUGGUUUUGUUUAUGGACUACCCUGCAAGGGGAGAGAUUUGGAAGUGACCUGGCUGGAGGACCAAGUCACAGGAGAAGAAAUAAUAGAAGAAUGGGAGACAGAGGAGGCAGUACCCAAAUCAAGGUUGAGCAACACAGGAAACAGAAUGCCACAUAUUUAUUGCAUGCUGUUUCUUGAUAGAUAUAUGCAAAACUACCCCCUUCACCACAGCAUGGGCCGGAAAGGAGGACUUACUCAACAAAAGUACAGAUCUUUCCCUCCUGACCCACACCCAUUGAGAGAUCUCAUGAACUGAGAUUGCUGCUAAGUGGACUCUCAGAGAACUUUAAAGAAAGAUUCAAUGAUUUCAGAUGUACCAUACUCUAAAAUGUCCUGAAUCUUAGCAUCUGUGGCAGUUAUACCCCAGUGGCUGAAACAGAUUGAAAAAUGCUUCCACUUGGCUAAAUAAGCAGAUGUAGUGGUAUGCUGUCUGCUGUUCAGUAAAAUAUUUUGAACUGCCAAAGAACAAUGUUUCUCUAUUUCAUCAAGUCACUCAAUAGCCAAGGUGUAAGGUGCAGGCUGUUCAGGUCUGGGUGUAAUAAUUGACCGUGGUGUUGAGACAGUAGAUCUGGAAGUGUAGGCAGAGUCCAAGGAGGCCAAAUGGAGAGGCUGUGAAGAUCCAAGAACCAGCACUGUCUCAACCAUGCUGGGGGUUAUGAGAAUUAUUCUGGCAUGGGCUUGUUUUGAUAUGAGGAUCACCUGUGGGAUGAGGUGAGUGGAAAGGAAUGCAUACAUGAGGUAUGGUCCCCACCAAAGAAGAAAAGCAUCAGUCAACGAGCUUGGGCUGUGACCUGCUUGAAAGCAAAAUUGACAGCAUUUUCUGUUGUCAUUCAUUGCAAAUAGGUCAACCAACAGGAUUCCCCAGGCACAGAAGAUGGUUCUGAGCACACUGCACUUCAGAGACCACUUGUGAUCAUGAAAAAAUCUGCUGAGAUAUUGGCCAACAGUUUCUGGGAGCCCUAUGCUCGGACAGACUAAUGUAUUGGAUGUUGUGGAGAACCAGUUGUUUGGAUCUGCCUCAAAUUAACCAACCAUCCAGAUAUGGAAAGACAUGGAUCCUGUUUCUCCUCAGAUAGGCUGCCAUUUCUGUCAUGCAUUUUGUGAAUACUUACAGAGCCAACAACAGGCCAAAGGGAAGUACUGUGUACUGAUUAUGCAGCUUGCUAUCACAAAUCUUGAAAACGUCUUGUGACUUGGCAAAACUGCCACAUGGAAGUAGACAUCCUGCAAAUCGAGGGCACCAAACCAGUCGGUACAAUCUUGGGAAGGACUAAUCAGUGCUAGAAACAAUAUGCCAUUACGCUAUAAGAAGCAUCAGCUACAUCAACGUAGACUGUAGUGAGAUCUUGGCCAUUGUGUGGCCUUCUGCAAGAAAAACCUUUUAUUCCGCCCAUGACUCUUCAGGUAACUUUUCAGUAAUUUUGGACACCGCAAGCCAGCGCACAAAGCCAUAUUUAGCUAAAAGCACCUGGUGAAUCACUAUGCACAUUUGGAGAGAGGAGGCUGAAUACAUUUUUCUACCAAAUAAAUCAAGUCUCUUGGCUCUUUCUCUUUA